rnacentral:rRNA from 1 species
UACGGGGGGGGCAAGCGUUGUUCGGAAUUACUGGGCGUAAAGGGCUCGUAGGCGGCUCCUUAAGUCAGACGUGAAAUCCCUCGGCUUAACCGGGGAACUGCGUCUGAGACUGAAGAGCUUGAAUCCGGGAGAGGGAUGCAGAAUUCCAGGUGUAGCGGUGAAAUGCGUAGAUAUCUGGAGGAAUACCGAUGGCGAAGGCAGGUCUCUGGGCUGACACUGACGCUCAUGCACGAAAGCGUGGGGAGCAAACAGG